GUCUCUUUGGAGACAUCCUAUAAAAUUCAAACUAUACAGGGAACUUUAGCAUCUCAUUUCCAAGAAUGACACGCAUAAAUUAAGAAAUGGUCUAAAUUUUU